rnacentral:tRNA from 1 species
GCGGACGUAGCUCAGACGGAAGAGCACCGGAGCGCCACUCCGGGGAGGCCCGUUCGAUCCGGGCCGUCCGCU